AAAAUAAAGAGGCCAGCAUAUGAAAGCAAUACUUUUCAAGAUAGGCAUUAGAACUUCUAUAUGAUCAAAAGUAGUUUUUAAUUUGACAGAGAGAGAAUCAAAACUGCUAUUACAUUACUAGAGUGGUAGCAAGUGAACUCAGAACAAACGAUGAAUGGGGUUCCAUGAAGGACACUUUCCACAGCUACGAGGAAGCCUCCCUCUGAUGCUGCUCCUCCAGUCACUUCUUUACGAACUGUAUCCACAAACAAAGUUACCUGAGUGACCUUCUGCCUUGCUUCCCUAAACAAAUCUAACUAAAGUAAAGGGAUUCCUUUGGAGAUUGUUACAUGAGCAGCAUGACUCAGACUCCGUGGGACUUGCGGUCAUAAUCCUGAUGAGCAAAAUAGGAAAAUGAGGUAGGCAACGCCAUACAGGAUGGAACCACUUAACUUCGAACUCUGACUGAGAAUGACAGGAACCCAACUCAAAACUCAAUGUCAGCAACAACUGGAACCAUGGCCUCAC
rnacentral:lncRNA from 1 species